UACAUAACUCAAUGAAUUAUGAUAUUUCACAAUCAGGGAUGUCCUUCUGGAAUGGAAAAGAUCUGUCUGCCUUGUACCUACAUCCAUUUGGUAAUCACGGUGAAUGUGAUGAGUCAUAAUGCCGUCAUACGAAAAAUCAUACCAGGAAGUACACAUCCCUUCCUUGUGACCGCAUGGAAGUUGACUGUUAAAACUGGUUUCUGGAUAAUAACUCAAGUACUUUGUAUUCUAUUUAAAGCAAAUUUGGACAUAUGGAUACGUAUAAUGAAGGGAAAAUGCCUAUCAAAUUUGGGAUCAGAAGGUCAAAGGUCAAAUCACAACGCAUGGAAAUUAGAAAAUGCUGAUGCGAGACUGGAAAUUUUAAGCACCACGAGCCUGUUGGCGGUGUGGGACGUGGGAGAAACUCCUAUUCAUACCAAAGCAUCUAUCACCUCUCCACCAGAGUUUGAAUAAAAUGAUGACACAAGAUGAAAAAACAAGAAUAGAAGUCGAAACAAGAAAAGAACACAGUUCUUGUGAUUGGUACCGACACAGACGCCCAAGGCUUACAUCUUCAUAUUUAGGGAACGUGAUUCACAAAAAAGCAAAACAUAAAGAUUCAUUUACAUGUAGUGUGGAUGUUUUGAAUCUCUCAUGUCAUUCGCAGCUAGGGACGUAUGGCGUAAACAUGAACGAGAUAGUAAAGACAAAUACAAUGUACCUAUGAAAAAUCCCUUCACGACAUUUAAAUGAAUGUGGUCUAAUUAUUAGCAAUGAAUUUAACUUGUUAGCUGCAGCACCAGGUGGUACAGCUUGUGAUAAUGGCUGUUUUGGGAUCAUUGAAGAGAAACCUGAGCAAAGAGGAAUCAUGUGAUUUACCUGAGUUUUACAUUUAAAAAAUUGGUUACAACAUGAACUUUUAAAAAACAUUCAUUAUUAUUAUUAUGCACAUAUACAGGGACGACUUCUGAUUGCUAGUUGUGGAUUCUGUGAUUUAUAUGUUUACACACAGAAAAGUGCAUUUGUAGAGAGAAUACUUCCUGAUGUCGAAUUUAUGAAAUUUGUUGUCAAAGUUGUGCAACUUCAUGAAAGUUCAUGGUAAUCAAACGAAAGCUACAAACUGUC